GACGAACGCUGGCGGCGUGCUUAACACAUGCAAGUCGAACGGAAAGGCCCUGCUUUUGUGGGGUGCUCGAGUGGCGAACGGGUGAGUAACACGUGAGUAACCUGCCCUUGACUUUGGGAUAACUUCAGGAAACUGGGGCUAAUACCGGAUAGGAGCUCCUGCUGCAUGGUGGGGGUUGGAAAGUUUCGGCGGUUGGGGAUGGACUCGCGGCUUAUCAGCUUGUUGGUGGGGUAGUGGCUUACCAAGGCUUUGACGGGUAGCCGGCCUGAGAGGGUGACCGGCCACAUUGGGACUGAGAUACGGCCCAGACUCCUACGGGAGGCAGCAGUGGGGAAUAUUGCACAAUGGGCGGAAGCCUGAUGCAGCAACGCCGCGUGCGGGAUGACGGCCUUCGGGUUGUAAACCGCUUUCGCCUGUGACGAAGCGUGAGUGACGGUAAUGGGUAAAGAAGCACCGGCUAACUACGUGCCAGCAGCCGCGGUGAUACGUAGGGUGCGAGCGUUGUCCGGAUUUAUUGGGCGUAAAGGGCUCGUAGGUGGUUGAUCGCGUCGGAAGUGUAAUCUUGGGGCUUAACCCUGAGCGUGCUUUCGAUACGGGUUGACUUGAGGAAGGUAGGGGAGAAUGGAAUUCCUGGUGGAGCGGUGGAAUGCGCAGAUAUCAGGAGGAACACCAGUGGCGAAGGCGGUUCUCUGGGUCUUUCCUGACGCUGAGGAGCGAAAGCGUGGGGAGCGAACAGGCUUAGAUACCCUGGUAGUCCACGCUGUAAACGGUGGGUACUAGGUGUGGGGUCCAUUCCACGGGUUCCGUGCCGUAGCUAACGCUUUAAGUACCCCGCCUGGGGAGUACGGCCGCAAGGCUAAAACUCAAAGGAAUUGACGGGGCCCCGCACAAGCGGCGGAGCAUGCGGAUUAAUUCGAUGCAACGCGUAGAACCUUACCUGGGUUUGACAUGGAUCGGGAGUGCUCAGAGAUGGGUGUGCCUCUUUUGGGGUCGGUUCACAGGUGGUGCAUGGCUGUCGUCAGCUCGUGUCGUGAGAUGUUGGGUUAAGUCCCGCAACGAGCGCAACCCUUGUUCACUGUUGCCAGCACGUUAUGGUGGGGACUCAGUGGAGACCGCCGGGGUCAACUCGGAGGAAGGUGGGGAUGACGUCAAGUCAUCAUGCCCCUUAUGUCCAGGGCUUCACGCAUGCUACAAUGGCUGGUACAGAGAGUGGCGAGCCUGUGAGGGUGAGCGAAUCUCGGAAAGCCGGUCUCAGUUCGGAUUGGGGUCUGCAACUCGACCUCAUGAAGUCGGAGUCGCUAGUAAUCGCAGAUCAGCAACGCUGCGGUGAGUACGUUCCCGGGGCU
rnacentral:rRNA from 1 species